rnacentral:rRNA from 1 species
CACGUAGUUAGCCGUGACUUUCUGGCGGGGCACCAUCAGUCAGCACCCAUUUCCUGAUGCUGCCUUUUUUCCCCCGCAACAGAGCUUUACGACCCGAAGGCCUUCUUCACUCACGCGGCAUCGCUCCUUCAGGCUUGCGCCCAUUGACGAAAAUUCCCUACUGCUGCCUCCCGCAGGAGUCUGGGCCGUGUCUCAGUCCCAAUGUGGCCGUCCGCCCUCUCAGGCCGGCUAUGCAUCAUCGUCUUGGUGGGCCUUUACCCCGCCAACCAACUAAUGCACCGCAGGUCCAUCCGCGCCCCAUCCCCUAAAGGACUGUUUCACAGAAAGAAGAUGCCCUCCUUCCUGUACAUCGGGAUUUGGUUCUCCGUUUCCAGAGCGUAUUCCCGGUGCACGGGCAGGUUCCCUAGUGUUACUCCACCCGUUCGCCACUAGACGACCCGAAGGUCCUCUCGUUCGACUUGCUAUGUAUUAGGCUAUCGCCGCCAGCCGUUCA